rnacentral:rRNA from 1 species
CCUACGGGAGGCAGCAGUGGGGAAUCUUAGACAAUGGGGGAAACCCUGAUCUAGCCAUGCCGCGUGAGUGAAGAAGGCCUUAGGGUCGUAAAGCUCUUUCAACGGGGAAGAUAAUGACGGUACCCGUAGAAGAAGCCCCGGCUAACUCCGUGCCAGCAGCCGCGGUAAU